CGCCGCCGCGGGGCCUCCGACUGCGCACCCGGCCAGGUUCCGGAGAGCGGGCAGGGAGCGCGGGCCGAGGCUGCCCUCGCGCCCCUGGCUGCCGGCCUAAGGGCUCGCUCGCACGCACGCCUCCGCUCGUCACCCUCGCCUUGCCGGCGUGCGGACAGGGCCUGCGGCGGUGGGAAAUCUGGGAAAUCGGAGCGCAGCGCAGGACCGCGCGGGAGGCCGGCGGGACGCAGCGCGCACAGACCCCGGUGAGUGGCUGCGGCGCUGACGGUCGCGCGCCGGGCUUGGCCUCUCUGCCAGGGUCUCGGGUGGAGAGGAGGGCGGGGGUGUCUCCAGUCUCCACAGGUCGUCGCGAGGAGCCGCACGGCCGUGCCCCGGAGCCAGCUGGGGCGAGAGGCGUGUGCCGGGCUCUGAGCGGGACCUGCGGCUUCUUCAAAGCCCCGGACCGCAAGGGUUUCUCCCGACUCCGCGCUCCCCGCUGGCCUCCCUCUCCCUCUCCCGGCCCUUCGCCGCCCGCAGGGGACGCCUGGUCGCCUCGGGGCGCCAGGCCCGUCCCUGCCAGGAGCUGGGGGCUUAGCCUGCCCCGCUGUCGCCGCCUCUCCACGAAGAGCAGAGCUCCUGGGAGAGCAGAGCCUCCUUCCGCCCUGUGCUUUCGGCCAGGCCCCGCCGGCGGACACCUCGGGCGCGGAGGGAAGGUCCAGGGUAGGCCCUGGGCGCGGCGGUCUCGGGUAUUCUCGGACCCGGCCGCCGCACACAGCCGCCUCCGCGCCCUCCGCCCCUGCCUUUCCCGGAGCGCUGUGGCACCGCUCGGACCCCAGCCUGGGGCAUCACGCACCCUCGCUGGACGCCCUCGCGCACUCGCAUUCUCUUCCCGCUGUGUCCCCUCGCCCCCAGGGAGGGACGUCAGGGACGGAAUAGCUGAGUUUCCCCGAAAUGGAGUAACUUCCUUUCCUGUUCCUGCUCCUCCACUCGUGGGGACCCCCAGAGUGAGGGGAAUCUACUGAAGGCGAAAUUGGGGAGCCCUUUUCUAGCAGCCGCCUUCCCCUGUAGGCUCUGUCCGGUUUAGGGGUCUUGGGGUCCCAUCUUUGGCUCACCCAGAAUUCAGUUUUCCUGCCCCCCUUUGUCCUUCACAGGCUUCCCUGGGGGGGGAGGGGAGCUUCUUAGGUUUGGGGGCAGAGAGCUGUGCCUGUGGGUGGAAGUAUGGUGUGGGGGCCACGUUACUCACUCACUCAGGCCCCAGCAGCGAAGCAGACUCUGCCUGGACCCCAGGGCCUUGAGGUGUGGAGCUAGAGUCCCAGGGAUGCCCAGGGCCGGCGCUCGCCAAAUCCUGCUCUCUCCUGGGGUGGCAGAGGAGGUGGGAGCCUGAGAGGGGAGGGGGGAACCACAGCCACAGCCACGCAAGGAGACUUUUCUGUGAGGAGCCAAGUUCUUGGUUCUCCAGAUGCCAGAGAGGUUUCCCUUAACCAGACACUUUUGAGGUGAGGACACUGAGCCCCAGAGGGGACUUGGGCCUGGCCAGCCCAGCUCAGCUGGCGGGGUUGGGCUGCCAGUGACCUUCCCUCCAAGCCCUCCUCUCUCCAAGCACGGAGGGUGGUGGCCUCUCUUCCCCCUGCCUCCUUGUGGUCAGAGAGAGUGGGCUUUUGGAAGGCUUCAUCGGCGCACAGCCUGGCUUUCCAGCUCCAGGGGAAAGAGACUCAUGGGAAAACCGUGGUAUUAAGAUGGUUACCACAGGGCCAGGGGUGUAGCUGAGCGGCUCAGCGCCUGCCUGGCAAGCUCGAGGCCCUCAGAUCGAUUCCCGGUAUAAUAUAAAAUAAAAUAGUUAGACAACCACAGCCGCAGGACAGGAAGCAGGCUGCUCGGUGGCUCACUAUGUGGUACUGGGCGCAUCACUCCUUAGACGGGUCCCAAAGGGGCUUGAACCCCUUUGAUGAUGUGGGGAGUUUGAUAACUUGGGUGAUUACUGUCCUGCCUGCACCCACUCCCAAGGUGCAUAACCGUGACACCUCUGCGGGGGUUUUCUUUGAGGUCUUGCGGGAAGCAUGGAACUCAUUCGUAAACCUACACCCCACCCACAAGCACAGAAUUGUAACUGUCCCUCCACAGUUGUUUGAUCUCGCGGGAACUCCUCCAAGUCAGCACCCCCUCCCUUAGUGAUGGGGCUCAGGGGGGUUGCUCGAUCCUCCACGACCCUGCAGGGCCAGGACCCAAACUGGACCCCCCCACACACCAGGAUAAGGGCAGGGAGACCCUGCACAUCAGAUUCACAGGGUGGAUGGAGAUCCAGCCCCCCAACCCCGCGGGAUGCCACCUAAGCUGACUCUUUCUCUGAAAGUGGAACCCGUAAUGCUGCCCACUCUUAGGCUCAGGGGAGGGUGCAGCAGGGCAGGGAGCUGGGGGACCCUUUCAAAUGGGAGCGAGGCCUCAGGGGCUCAGCCUGCGAGAAAACACUGCCUUUAGCUUAAAAUCUGCAGACACCUCUCCCAUCCUAAGUCAAAGCUGUGUGCGCCCCCAUGCAGGCAGAGGAACCCCCAGAACUGGGGUGGGUGGGUAAGAGACAUGCCCGCGUCGCGUCCACUCCCCAGGCCCGAGGUAUUUUCACUGGCUAAUUGCUUAAGUGAAGCCGCCGGGCGCGAGCGCCGUAACCCGAGCUCCGAACCAGAUCCGGCUCUCGGUGUGCGCCGGCCGCCGACCACCCACCGCGAGGGCAGCCGCCCUGCCUGACGCCCCUGCUCCGCAUUAGCCCGCUUCGCCCCCCACCCCUGCUCCUCGCAGCCCCGCAAGCUUCGUCCCUUGGUAGGUAGGGUGGCCGGGCUGCACCAACGGGGUGCGGGGCAGUGGGGAAGUGGAGUCCUGGGGCUCUGGUAGGGACGGCAGCUUCGGUGCGGCCUGGGUCUAGGGGUGUGUGUUGGGCUUGGUACCCAGAACUGCAGGGGGAAGGUCAGGGUCGGGGGGAGGAGGGUGGCCUGCUUGGAUCACAGCUGACCUGCGUGCAGAGUCUGCAGGGGCUUGGACCUGCAGACUGGUGCCAAAACAGAACCCGGCUGCAGGGCAUCCCCCGGAAGCUGGGCGCAGAGAGGCUUCUGAGGACAGCAGAGAGCCAGCACAGGGGCUCCCUGUGUGUCGCCAUUUUAAGAUGUUCUGUUUAACGGUCUAACAGGCACUCGCAGAAACACCCCAGAAUACUAUGGCGCGCUGGGCACCGAGCAGUGUAAAUGAGCAUGCAAGGGGACAGUGCCGUGUGCAGUCAGGAUGGUCCAGGCAGCCCGCUGCUCAGGUUGGCGUAGUCUGAGUGUGCCACACAGCGUGUUCCGAGCUCCGCAGGCCCCGUUGUCACACGCAGAGGAUCAGAGGACAUGUGGAGACGUGUGCCAGUGCAGGGUGCCUCGUUAGGCCAAGGGGUCACAGGGGUGACACAGCAGCAUCAGCCGCAGCCGCAGGCAGAGGGAUCUGCAGGGCGAUGCGCGUCCCCCAGGUGUCAGGCACGCUUUCAGGGCGUGUGACACGGGGUGGACAUGGUGCAAGCGUGACAGCGGACCGGACUGUGGCCAAGGACACCUGCCAGCCCUUGCUAGGCAGGGUAGGGCCUCCCCACUCACAGAACUCCCACCCUGAUCCCGAAGGCAGGGUCUGCUUUGAUCUCGGGUUCCAAAACACAAUGACACACCUACUUUAUUUCUAUGGUGACAGAUGGGCCCCUGAGAGAUGGGGUCCUGCACGGUACAGAGAUGUGGGGACCCUGUUCGCCCCGUGUGAGCCCUGACAGGGGAUUCCCCUCUCCGUAGCUGCAGAAAGGAGGUGCACGAUAAGGGAGGUGUGCAGAGGGGGCCCGCAGUAUCGGCGCGGCAGGGAAAGCCCUCCUUUGGGAUGACCUGCAGUGUCCCUUGCUGCCUCUUUAAGCUCAAAGCAAGGCAGUCAGAGCAAGCCGGACUCCAAGCCCCAGACUGGGAGAAGGGCGGGGGAGGAGGAAAGCAGCCACCUGGGUCGCACCUAGUCCUGCAGCACCCCCAGGGCAAGGUGGGGCUCAGUAACCCCUGGCAGUGUGGGCGGCAGCGGUGACCAGGGCCGCCCCUGGACGCAGGCCCUGGUGUUCAUCUCCCAUCAGCUCCACCUUGGGAAGAGGCUCGGGGUUUAGUCACCGCUCCCCCCCGCCCCCAUGCUUGGCCGUCGCUGCAGCCGGCGCUUGCCCCUUCCACUUGGCCCUUUUACCCGAAAGCACACAUUUUCCAUGACGUUCUUCAAUGAAAUAUUUGACAACAGUGCAGCCCAGGAAUUUACAGCUCUUCCCUGCAAGAUGGCUGGGAGUUUUCUGGCAUUUGCAGUACACGAAGCUCCAAGAACCAGCCCACCGGAGGGACACCCGGCCUCCAGCCCCCUGGGUCUGGUGCAGCCCCUUCCCGUGGAUACAGCCCCCAGAACCCCCGCAUAUGUUUGUCUCUGCUGAGCGGUGUUCGAAUGGGAGACGACUUCCUUGCAGUGCAUGCUUGCCCGUGUGUGUGUGUUUGGGGGUGCUCAAGGGGCCCCUGAGCCAGUUUCUGAGCUGAUGAUCUGUGCUGAAGUAGAGCGAGCACAGAAAGGUGCUCAGAGAGGGACAGGAGGGCUGUGGCCCCGGGACAGGCCCCCAACCUGGGGAUGAAGAGAAGGGUCCCAGACUACCAGCCAAAAGGAAAACAUAAAUUCAAUGCCAAGGGGCCGUUGCUUAGUAUUUUUCAGAUAUGAGGGGCCCCAAGAGGGAGGGACUCACAUGACAAGGGAACAGGGUGGGGGAACACUGCCGCCCAGAUGGGGCUCUGAGCCCAAGCAGCCGUGUGUGCCCAGGACCCUGUCCAAGUGCCCACCUGAGUGCCAGCUCACAGGCUGCAGAUGAGAAGAACGGGUGUUCAGGGGGACACCAACUGCACACACCUGACUGCCCGGGUGGAGGGGCUUCCCUGCUCCGUGCAGCCUGCCCAGGCUGCUGGCAACAGGACUCCCUCUCCCCAUGCCCUCGCCAGUCUAGCCCGGGCCUUUUGUCCCAGCCAGGUUGUAGCUCUGUGGCUCUAGGGACCUGGGCGAGUUGUGCCUGGGCAGGCCUGGCCCUGUGCACACCCGGAGGAAGCCCCUCUGGAGUUCAGCCCACCCUUGGGCUAGGGUGAUAGGGUCCCAGGGGAGGAAGCGGGGUAGCCAAGCCUGGGAGGGGAGUCAGGCAGGUGCACCAGAAAGCAGACAGUGCUGGAGGGAGAGCCCACACCCGAGAUGAGAUGGGGAAUUUCAGGCAGCAGGCUGAGCGCCCCAGUGGAGUACGGCCCGUGUCCACAGGACAGGGUGGCAGGGCACGGCAGGGCCAGGCCCUGGGGACAAGGAGGCCCAUUAGAGCGGGCCCACCCCAGACCGAUGUAGCACCUGUCUCUCCUUAGCUCUGGCCUCAGGCAAGCGCUUCAGCCUCUAGCGCCUCAGUUUCCUCUUUGUGCACCAGGGGAACAGAGCCAACCUGGAACCAGAGGAGAGACACAGGGCUUGCGCUGCAGUUGUGAAGGGGCUGGCGGCCUUGUGGAUGAUGGCAUCGUAAAUUGAAAUCCAGACCAGGGGGGAAUUGUUAAACAAACACCUGCAAGUGAUGAGGAGCUUGGGCCCUGUCUGGUUCCACUCAGCUCCACGGCUGUGCGGCCCUGGACGGUGGUCUUACCUCUCUGAGCCUCCUGUUCCUCAACUGUAAAAGAAGGGCGAGGGUGGUACCUCUCUUGGGGUAGAUGACCCCACAGUUGCCCACUGUGGUUGUUAUUUAGAGUUUUGGGGGGCUGGAGGGUAAGAUGCGUACCUCCCUGAAUGUCUGGGAGCCCUGCUUGAGAACCGGUGGCCUGAAGACCAGCUGCCCUGACUCGGCCGGCCGAGGGCUCCGAGUGGCCAGGGGCCUCCCUGGGUCUGCCGAGAGUUCAGGGUGACACAGCAAGGACGUUCAGAGCUCUCUGGGGAGUGCCUCUGCCAGCUCCGUCCUGCCACCCUGCCUUCUGUUCUCCCUGGUCCCGGGGCAGCAGGGCGGCAUCUGCAGUGGGCUGCCCGCACGCAUGUUCGCCUGCUGUGUGCAUUCUGGCCGGCCUCUCUCGGAGCCCCUUUUCUCCUCUGUGAGAUGGACAGAAUUAUAGGGCCUCCACCCCCGGCUGCUGUGCAGACCAAAGGUGGCCAGCAUCCCCCUCGGAGAGCCCGGCACCUGCUGUGUGUGGCACCAUGUGGAGAACGUGCUGUCAUUCUUGGAUUUGAUGCUGAAUCCGCCUCACAGGCAGGAGAGCAAGGCACAGCUAGCCGGCCGGGUGUGGUGGGAGGACUCAUUUUAAGGGUGCAGACAGGAGGUGCCCCCAAUUCUGCUUAGGUGGCAGGGCAAGCUUAACAGCUCUUUGCACACCCUCCCGACCCCAGUUUCCACUGCACUUAAUAACAGAAUAACAGCCUCCAGCCAGGUCCGAGGGAGCAAGUGGGAGGCAGGAUCAGAAGCCUCCAGGAGCCCCCCGACUCCGCCCGCUUCCCGGCACUGCUCCCCACGGCCCAGUUUCUGAGAAAUGCCUGGGAGGCUGAGGGUGGAUGCCUGGAGCCUCCCACCCGACAGCUGCACCCUGGGUGGGGACAAAGCCCCUCCUCUGGUGCCCCUUCCCCAGGUCCCCAGAAGAGUCUGGCCCUGGCUCCUUUCCUGCCAGACCAGAGCAGACGGCCCUGAGCAAAGGGCGCCGGGCAGCCUCAGCUUAGGUCCCGGAGGGCAGCAGGGACCUCCCAGCCACCGCAGAAGCAGGCCCUGGGCGGUCCUCGGAGGGGCUCCUGACCGACAGGCACACUGCACCCUGGGGCCCCGAAAGCAGCCCUCACCCAGGGCAAGGAGCUCCUUGUAAUUUAGGAGGCCAAGGCAGGAGAAUCAAAGCUCCAGCCAGCCUGGCUAACUUGGCAGGAGCCUGCCUCGAAGUAAAAAUCAAAAGGGUGGGGAUGUAGCUCAGGGGCUGAGCGCACGGGUUCAAUCCCCAGGAAGGCACAAAGUAAGAAACUGCUACUAAUAAAACACGCCCGUCCCUUUCUGUGAUUAUUGUUUUUGUUUCUUGGUGUUCGUUCUCUCUCUUACAGCCCUCGGCUCUCGGCUCUCUAACUUCGUAGAAUUUAAAAAUCAAAUGAAGGCAAAAACAAGACAGCCAUUUAAACCUUCCGGUCCUUUUCUUAUGAAAUAUAUUUUCUCAGUGCUUGAACACACCACUUCUUUAGGCAAUCGGAUUGCUCUCAGAGUCUGGGCAGAUUUGCGUCUGAAGUGGGCUCGCUGGUCUACUCCUGUACCCCAGCACCCCCUUAACCCUCACAGCGGGCAUUUUUUUCUUUCCAGUGAGCCAUUAAUUACCUGCAAAAGCUCCGUGCCCAGCACUCGGAGAGGAUCGAGGCCGGCCGCUUUAGAAAGCACACACCUGGAAUUAUGUCCAAUUUUGUGUUGUGUCCCUAGGUCAGAGGCCCCUUCCUGGCGUUCUCCAUGCUGGUGGAGAAAGACUUCGCCCCUUCUGGUUGCACGCCAGCGUCCCCUCGGCCGGGUCACUGUUUCCCCCACCAAAUUGGGCUGAGACCCAUUUAAUUCGCCGUGAAAACUAACUUAAUUAGGAGCCGAGUGCGCUCUUGGGUGGGAGGCAGCAGGCUCUUCGCCCAUCUCCCUCGCUGCCCUCCGCUCUCCGCAUUUGCAAAGCCGCCCUUCCCCGCGAGGAGCCGGGCUGCCUGCCUCUCACUUUUCCUCAGGUUGCCGGUCUCAGGUGGAAUCUCAGGGGCUGGCUUUCGGCGGAGGCGGUGCCCUGAGCCCGUGGGAAGCAGAACCCGCUUCUUUCCGAGCCCCAGGCUCCUGGUGCCCCAAGUGCCUCUGGCCAGACUCCGCCUGCCGGUGACGGCCUGGACAGCUCCGGGUCCUACAGCCCGGGUGGCGACCGCUGCGCUGGUGUCGAGAUGCCACAGUCCUUUAACCCUGGUUCAGGCUAAUGACGGGUCCUGCCUGCGUGAAUGCCGUGUUUAUUUUACCUCCACCAGCUCAGGGGAGGGGGUGCACCCGGGCGCCCGGCAAGGGACGUGGAGCCACAGAAGCAGAGCCCGCUCUGCAGGCGAAGGGUCUGCGCAUCGCCUUCUCCCUCACCGGGCCGCCGCGGCGGAGAUCAAUGCGACUCAGCCUCGUGUCCUGGGGAGCCCAGAGCUGCAGCCCCGGAGCGUGCAGGACUCGGGGCGCCCAAGGCCCGCAGCCCUGGGAGGCGCCUUCUGGAAGUCAACUCCAUGCACUCUCCAGCCGCUCGCUUGGCUGUGGUAAGCGUGCCCAGCUCCGGGUCUGGCCGCCACCGCCCUCCCCCAGCAGGGGUGACAAUGCCUCAGGGGCCCCUGCUUUGGUCCCUAAGCCACCUCGCUUGCCUCAGAGGGUGGCACCUGGAUGGGAAGCCCAGGUCUGUGUGUGGGGCACCUGGAACUGUUUUUUCUCCCUGCAAAACCUAGAAAUGCGCUCAAAGUGGGAGAUGUCUGGGGAUGUGUCUACACGGUAGUGGGAAACAGUGGGUCCUAAAGAUUGUGUGCCGAGGGAGGUUAACACACCGCAGACGUGUCUCGUGGGCAUUUCCAGCUGCGUCAGGCCCAGAAUUAUGUGGAUGUGGCUGCCUAUUUCACCUGCUGGUGCUGGUGUCCACAGAACCCAGACCCCGGCUACCAGCGAGGCUGGCUGACUCCCCAGUGCCAGAUCCAAAAGUCCAGUUUUCAGUUCCGGCAGGGGUAGGGCUGAAAAGGGGGACAGUGGGGAGCAAGGGGGCUGGGCCAGGUCAUCCUGAGGCUCAGGGCCCCCACAGGAGCACAGGGCGUGGGGGGGGGCUGCCAGCCAGGUGACAGACAGGGAGGGUCCCCUCUCCUGGCCGAGAGCCUUCCGCGUACAGCUCCUGCUCCUGGGAGCCCACCCUGCGGGGCAGCCUCCCAAUCCCUCCUGCCCCCAACCCUUCCUCCAUCAGGUUGAGGACGCCGUGGGUUCCAACUCAAUUAGCUCACGGAGGCGGCCCGCAGCCGGCGACAGCUGCUCAGCUGCUCCGCGAUUAAGUCCGGGCGGGCAGCACAGGGGCGGAGCGGGCAGGUAAAGAGGAACCAAUUUGCCCCGAGGCUUUAUCAACAAGUGGUUUAAGGAGGAAUUUGCGUUGACAACUCGGCACCUCGGUCGGGGCUGGCUCGGCCACGGCAGCGGGCAGGGAUGACAGGCCGAGCCGUGGGGUGCGUGUGAUGGAGCCGCGGAGCCCAGCGGCACAGUGACAGCAGGGACCUCGGCCCGGCCCGCAUGGGACGCGCAGGACGGGGUGGUGGGAACACGGGCCGGGCACGGAGGGUCUUCCCCAGCGAAGUAGGUGGCCGUGUAUAUUUUUGUUCAAGUGGUGUUUAUGUUAAUGAAAAAAGGGUGGAAUUACAAACAGUGCGAGGCCUCCGGGGAGGCGCUGCACUCUCGCCCCAGGCCCGAUCCAGGGCGGGCAUCCCAGCCAGAGAAACCCCCUACCCCUUCCAGGGUGAUGGCUACACCCUCCCAGGCCUCCGCCCCCAAGCCCAGAGCCCUUUGUGUGCAGUCACCCAGCUUCGGGAGAGGCCGGCGACUCCCCAGUCACCCCCUCCACCCUGGCCAGCACUGCAAUCGGGGUUGUGGAUAGAAAAAUGCCAAUUUAAGUCCCGGUGCAGAAAGGCACUGGAUAACUCUUUGGGAGCCUGGAGUGUGGGCAGAAUUCAGCUCCCCACCCCUUUCCACCCUGUCUCUUUCUUCCUUUGUAUUUUCUUUCCGUUUUGUAACUAGCCAGGGUUUUGAUAUUUGUUUCCCACCGGGCUCCCCUUUUUCCUGGGGCUCUCCGCAGGCCACCUGGUGUGCCUGGCCCACAAGGACUGUCUCACUUCUUUUCCCCAACACCCGCUGCCAGCCUUCCAUCCACAGAUAGGAAGGGGUGGCUGGAGCCCCAUCUUCCCCUGGCUCCUGUCCUUUGGUUAAGGAGAAGCCAGCAGGGAAAGCCGAGGCAGGAGAGCGCCUGGCAGCCCCAGCAUGGGAGGCUACACCAGGCUGGUGGGGGUUCUGGCCAGGCUAGGCAGGCCCCUUCUGGGCAAAGUGAGGUAGUGUCUUGGCCGGUGGACAGUUGAGGCCUUGUCUGAUCUUUUCCUGGAAGACACUGGACACAGGAGAUUCAGGUUACCCGGUCCAUUUCUGCGGCCUCUACCAGGCUGCUCUGCAGACUCUGCUACUUGAAGCCCCUUCUGAUGAGUUCAGCCCUAGCCAGGUCUGCAGGGAGCAGGCAGGGGCCUAGACACGCCGCCCACCUGGAGAGCCGGACCUCCUGGCAGUUUUGGGGACCCACAGCCCCCCACCCGUUUGAAUCUGUGCCGCCCCAACCAACCGUGGAGCAGCCCUGCAGCUUGGAAGGCUGAGCUCUGCAGGCGGCUAGGUCCACAGCAGAAGGAAGUCAGCCCAGGAGGGGCACAGCUGUGGGGACAGGAGGGACAGGGUCCUUGCUCUGCCUCUGGACGCUCUGCUCCCCUCAUUCAGACUCCAGGCUCAGGUAGAAAAAAUGCCCACAUAUGAGGGGGCCGAGGUCCGGAUCAGGGUCUGGGCCCCAUGCUCCCCCUCUGGCCAGCUCCGUGCUGGGUUCAGUGAGGCUGAGGGCCCCGGGGACAGGCGCCUCGCCUCAGGCUCGCACCUGGUGAGUCCCUCCCUCCCCAGCCUCCAGAACGAGAACACCAGGACAGAACAAAGUGGGCCUCAGUCACCGUUAUCGGGCGCCCCCUUCUUUCAAAGAGCUACCAUUUGUCAAACCCGCUGACAUUUGCUUGACGGGUUUUGUAGCAUUGACGCUGAGCAGCGGGGAUAAGAAUCCCAGCGGGGGAGAGGGGAGCUGGCUCGGAGUGGGGCCUGGCUGGCCGCAGGCCUGGAUCCGACACUCUCCUGUGGCUGCCCCUGCUUCCUGUAGAGGCUUGGAGGUGCUGGGCCCGAGCCUGGGGACCUGAAUGAGGGCUGUGCAGAGCCAUUUGUCAGCAAGGGCGUCUCCUGCCUCGGUCACCUGGGCAGGUGGCUUCCAGCCCUGGCGGCGGGUGGGACGGGUGGGUGUUGGGCAGCUUCGCACCUGCACCGCCAGUCUUCUUGGGGGGGGUGAGGUGCAUGCCAGAGUGCUCCUCUAGUGCUGGGGGGCUGGGUUUUUUUGAGGGGGGCUCAGGAAACAGAGGGUCGGGCAUGCGACCCCAGUGUCCCCUUCAGGCUAGGGGUUUCCUCAGUCUGCCCACAUCCCGGGAUUCCAGUCGGCCCAAAUACCUCGCAGCCCCCGCCCCCUCCCCGAGCAAGCAUCAGCACCCAGCUCCGGAGUCAGUCCCUUUCUCCUCCAACACUUUCCCUGAGCUGGUGGAUGCCAGAUGCCCAGCCCCAAACUCACUGCCAGCCCCUUCGGUGCAUCCAAGCCAGUUCUCCAUCCUGCAAUUAAACUCAAGGUCAAAUAUCUCCUUAACGACGCUAUCAGGCCAGCGGGCUCAUUUUGGCAUAUAUUUAGCUAUAAAAUACUGGUUGUUGCGAGGAGGAGAUGAAAAUUAUUGUGUUCUGGGAAUGAAUCCUUUUAGCAGAAACCAGAGCUGUUAUUUACCACGGAGAACUAAGUACAGGCUCAGUCUUCCAGGCAGUCCCAGCAGGCCCAGCCACCUUCCAGACCCUUUCCGGCUGAGCCUGAGCCCCUGCCGCCUGGGCUGUGCUGUCCAGAGCUGUGCUGCUCCGAGUGACCCACCAGCAGGCUGCAAGGGAGCCUCGGCAGGCUGCAGGAGGGGCGCAUGGGCCAGGGCUGGGUGGACCAGGCUGGAGGCCAACAGGGCUGCACAGCGUGUGAAGGGUGGCUCUGCCUCUGUCGCACUUGCUGCCUUGGAGGGGUGUCCCAACCUCUCUGGCUCUCUGAAUCAAUCGGGGAGAAGUCAAACUUCCUCUCAGGAAGCCUGGGAGAAUUUCAUCAGAUGCUAAUGCGGGGGGAGGCUGCCAUCCAGCUUCUGAUGAAAGCAGAAGUUCCUGAACUGUGGCCCAGAUAAAGCUCAAGACUCAGCUGGGGCUAGAGCUCAGUGGCAGAGCCCUUACCUAGCCGGUAUGGGGCUCGGGGUCGCACCCCCAGCACCUGCCAAAAAAAAUCGGGAGCAUGCUGAGAAAAAUAACUUUGGGGGCUGCUGAAAUGAAGGGGAGAAGGAGUGAACAGACCAAUGAGGUGGUGGGCGUCCUGUCACCAGCCAUGCCUGCUGCCAGCGUGGGCGCUUCCCUCACCCAGGCCCAGCGCUGCCCCUCUGAGAUGGUGCCUCAUGUAGCAUCAGGGGCUCAGGUACACUUCCUUCCCCACCUCCCUCCCCGCCAGCAUGUCAGGCAGAAGCAUCCAGAGACACUGGCAAUGCUCAGCUCACCCUGGCAGUGCCAGAGGAAUCAGGGCCAUGUGGGCCGAAGCACCCCUUGAUUUUGCCUCUCAGAAAGUGGCCGGGUGCCCCAGAGGAGGGAGUCUCCGGCCCAAGGUUGGGGUGUGUGUGUGUGUGCGUGUGUGUGUGCGUGUGCAGAUUCAGCCCAAGCCACACAGCCGCUGUGCAGGGCAGGGGUGUCCCGGAGGAAAGUGCAGGUGGCCCCACCGGGCAGGGCCAGCUAGCAUCCAGGCCCAGGGAGGGGCAGGACAGCCUGCCCAGACCCCACUGCCCAGGGAUGGGGGUCGGGCCAGGGCAGGCCCUGCGAUUCCACCCUGGCCAGGGAGUACUGGGCCGUUUUCUCCGCCUCUGCCCACCGUGGCCAUGGCCGAGAAGCAGCACUGUGGGAGGUGGGUAGGGCCCAGCUGUCUUGGGCCUCUGUCUGCUCUCCCAAGCGCAGCCUCCCGCCUCUGACAUUCCAUGGUGCGACAUCUUGCGUCUGGGUGGCCUGCCCGGCUGUCGCCAAGAUGGACACAGGCACUCUGCCUUCUCAGCCCUUUGGACCAGUGGUGUUCCUGUCCACAUUUGGAAGGCGGGGAACCUUGGGCUCAGAGAGGUUCCACAAUGAGCCCGGAAGACCUUGCUCUCCCGGGACGUGGCCAGCCAUGCUCCAAGGUCGUGGGCUGAGCUUGCAGCCGUGGGUGACUCUGGAGCCAGGCAGCCAGGGCUGGGGCGCAGAGAGGAAUUCAGCAGGUUCCACCCUGCAGGCGACUACUCAUGCUAGCCCUGUCAGCGGUAUGCCCGAGAGCGUUUGGGGAUGACUGAGUGUCGCUAUGGGGCUCAUCGCUCUAACGUGCUGUGCAUAAAGGCCCGUGUUUAUUUGGGCUGCAUCCUGGACUGCCCGCAGCUCUAAAGUGAGACAGGAGGACAGUGAGGUGGCCACGACCCGCAUGCCUGUGUGUCACCCCCGGGUGUAUCCACCCAGCACCACGACCCAGACUGUGGGCGGGUUGUUCAGACAAGCACCUAGACCAGCCACACUUCUGUUUCAGUGUGCCGGGCUGGGAGGGUCUCCCGCGAGAGACCCGGGCUCUCUCCGAAGCAUGCAGCAUGUUCUCACAGAGGGAAAAUCUGCUGCUCACAACUUGUAUUUCCUUCGAAGCUUCUGUCCCGUUCUGUCAGCUAGCUGCUCCAGCGAGGGGUGGAAGUAAAUACUCUGAGGUGUCCCAGGGCCUCAGAGUGCAGUUCUUACACAAACGAAGCUCCUUCUGUUGGGAAAGGCUCUCUUGUGCUUUCUUCCCUUCUGACGUGAGGCUGAAUGGCCCCUGUGUGAGAGGAGGAAAUGCAGGAGGCUGUCAGAGAUGGGGCUCCUGAGACAACCUGUGCGCUUCAGAGCUGCCCCGGGGCGACAGUGGGAAGGAGAACUGGCAGCAGGCCCCACGGAGCCCCCACCUCGGGGGCUCAGAAAUACUAGUGACAGGGUGGUGGUGCCCCAGGCAUUAGGCUGAGCACUGUCUCCAGUCUCCUCCAGUCCCCCGGAGCACGGUGAUGAGAGGGAUCAGGUGCAGGCCCAGGGAGGAAGCGACCGCCCACAGUGGCACCUUGGUGAGAGGCAGAGCAGGCCAGGCACUCAUGACCACGUCUGACAGGGACAGGGAACCAGGGCACCCUGGACCGCGAAGGUGCUGCAGGACAUGGGCCUGGAUGCAGUGCUGCAUGCUGACUCAAGGAUGAUGGUGACAGGGCCCAGGGCUGGGGCGGGUGGUUAAGGAAUGACCCCGGAAGUGCUCCCUGUGGCUUUGCAAAGGGGGGAGGGAUGCAUUCUUAUUUGUGCUUCAGGGUGUGUGAGUCAUCUGCGCAUCUGUCCUUCAUAAGGCGCUCUUCCAAGAGGGAUCUGGGAGGAGGUGACCUAAUCGGAAGGCGAUUCUAGAUGCGGAAUGUCUAAUUUGACCAACACUGCAUCUCCACCGAAACCAGCCCUGUCCUUGUCUUCCAGGACCUGAGGUGCAAAGGACACAUCCGGGCUGGGUGUGCUGUCCUCCUUACUUUAUAGGUUUUAUUUUUUCCAGGAUUAAAAAAAUACAGUUACCUUUCUUGAGCUCACAGGGGCACCCAGGGUGGAUUUCCAGGGGCAGGAAGCUGUGCAGAGUUCAUUGGUGGAAAGGAUGAAUUAAGAGAAAACCACUCAGAGGAACAGAAAGGCAUCCUAGGCAUUUGAGGCCAGGAGCAGAGCUGAGAGGGCUGUCUCCCUCUUUCAUUGUAUGGUAAGAACUGGGGACAAGAGGGGGAGCAGCACAGGGCGGCUCCCCAGGACUAGAUCCCGGAAGCGAUGCCGGCUUCUGGUCCUUUAUUUAUUUCUGUUUCCUUUGUAAAGCCCCAUCGUGCAGCAGAAGAACAUAAUUUAGCCUUGCUGUUUGUCUCCGUUUGCCAGGGCUGCCCCGACAAAGCACCGUACAUGGCCUGGGCGGCUUAUUCCCGACAGACGUGGAUUUCCUGUUCCAAGGCUGGGCGUCCAAGCUGGGGUGCACCCGGCGGCCUGUGCUCGCUCCCCACUGCCAUCUCCUCACAUGGUGGCCUGUAGCCAGGAGAGGGGACCCCAGCGCACCCCAGGAGCUGCCCCGGAGCAGCCCGCUCCCCAUGACUGCGGCCACAGAGACCGUGAGAAGCAGCGAGAGACACUGCUGAGGCCACUGCAUUCUAGCGUGGUUUGUUAGGCAGCCAGAAGCAACCAGAAGAAACCGGGUUUAUGUUUUAAAAAUAAACAUUUUAUUGAAACAUCACAGGGAAGGGACAGGGAAGCCCCCCGCCAGGGCAGCAGGCCCAUCAGGACGCAGCGUGUGCCCCUGGACGGCCCCCGGGGUGACCCCGCAGCCCACAGAGUGGCCUGGCAGGCGCAGAGGGAGACACAGCUCCCGGGCCAGUGUAGGUCUGCUCGCCCCUCCCUGUGGUGCACUAGGUCCCGUGGUGGCUGCCCUGAGCCUGGGCUCCCUGGUCCUCCUGGCCCGGUUGUGCUCCACGACGCAGUGGACACAGCUGUUGUCCCUUCUGCUGCAGUCACUGAGACCACCUGUGUGGGGUGUUUCUGCCGGGGGCUCAGGCCCUCGCCUGUGCACACCCCAGUCAGGGCUCGGUGCCCUCACUGCUGCCUCUCUCCCAGGGCCCUCGACGCUGCCACUACUGCCUGCUGGUGGCCUGGGCAGCUGGGCCAGCUGCCAAGUGACGCUGGCUCCUUUGGUUCCGAGUCAUGGACUUUAGAAGGUAGUACCCUGAGCCACAUGGGCGCCCCGCACCUGGCGCCCCACCUGGGAAAGCCCACCUGGUGUCCCCCACGGGUCUCUCAUGACCACAUGCAUCGGCGGGGCCUGGGGAGGCCCGGCCCGGGAGCGCUUUGUGCAGGGAGGAGUCCUAGGCCCCGGGCGACGGUGCCGGGUGGGAGACACUCAGAGCAGGGGGUAGACCCUCAACGCAGGACGCCGGGGUCAGGGCUGCUGCCCCAGGGGGUGCACGUGUACAUGGUCCUCGGCUUCUCGUGCCCACUCGAGGAGGCAGUUGGCCACACCUUCCAACUGCCAGCUUCCAAGACAGAGAAGACAGCGUCUGCUGUUUUAAGCCACCAGUCCAGGGGCUAAAUCCAGAUUUCUGUGCCUCAUCUUCCACAUAGGAAUAUAUGCAUGCUUUUGCUAAAUAAAGACAUAGCAUUAUAAGUCUGUAGGUAAUGAGUCAAAUUCAUUGACUUGUGUUAGAAAGAUAGGAUUUUCUUCGUGCAUUUUCUGUGCUGAUGCAGAUAGAAAACCAAGACCACAAAGGGCCCCUCUUGUUUUAAUUGUUUCAUUCCUUUAAACAACAAACACUGGCUGAAACAAACAGAAAAGUAUUUUUUUCAUGAACCAAACAGAAAGGGAUCAGUGCACUUAACUGAUCACCCGUUCCCACCAGCGUAGAGACAGACGCGGGCCUGAGACAGAGAUGUGGGGUGCGGCAUCUGGGUUUUGGGGUUUUCUCUUCUGAGGGAUGAGACAGGAGCCUUCCGAGAAAUGCACCCGGCGAGCCGCCCCAGGCCGCUGUGUCAGCCCUGCCGACUGCCUGAGGUAUGAGCUGAUCUCCGGCAGCUCUGCUUCGCCUGGGCCUCAGCUGCAGGCAGGAACCUCCACCCUCCAGGGUCAGAGUCCUCUCCUUGAGAGCAGCUCAGUCUGUUUUCUGUUGAUAGAACAAAAUAACCAAGGUGGGGUACUUUAUAAUUUGUUUAGCUCACAGUCUUGGAGGCUGGGAGUUCGAAACCAGCUGGCCCCUUCUGUUUGGCCUCUGGCCCCCUUCCCCUGCCGCCCCCACCCUGCAACAGUGUGUCACCAUGCAGCUGCCAGUAGCAUCCUGGCAGACAUAGGAAGCCAGACGGGAGCAGGGCAGACUUGCUCUUUUAUAACAAUCAUUUGCAUAAACCCCACCCAAGGGCACACCUCCAGGGACCUAACCACCUUACACUAGGCUCCUCCUCUUAAAGGGGCCAUCUGUCCCAAGACCUAGGACACACCAGUCAGGAGCUCCAGCCCUUCUGUGUGGAGCCAGCAGAACCCACAUCUUUGAAAAUUCACUCGUGUUCCCCAAACACUUGGGAAUCCUGCCCUCAGACUUGCUGUGGUCCAGUCUCCUUCAUCUCCCCACAGUUGUAAGACCUAGAUCACUCUCUUCCCCUCUGGAGUUUCUCCUCCAGGAACCUAGUGAGAGUUUCAGAGUGAGCACUGCAGAAAAUCCCUAGCACUGUGAGAAAGGAGCCGUUCUGACCACAUGGGAGCUCUGUCUGCCUGGGCCAGUUAGUGCCACACUGAUCGUGGGAAGGGAGACACCAGCUCCAGACCUCCCAAAUACUGUUCCACUGGGGAAUGGGGCCUGAGACACACGUGGGGCAUCCAUCGUCCAGGGCUUGGGCUCACUGGAAGACUGAGACCCACCCACAGGACUGAGGAGAACUUCCUGCAUUCGGCAUAUCACUAAGCACAUCAUGUAGCACCUCAUGGCUGACAAGCAGGAAACAAGUACCAGGCAUACUAAAAGGCAAAAGCAGAGUUUGAAGAGACAGAGCAAGCACCAGAACCAGACUUACAGGGCACUAUGGCUCCCCAAGAUGUGGCACACUGGAGAUUUAAACAGUAUGAUGAGCCCUUGCUGCCAGGCCUCCUGGGUCUCCACAGGCAUAGGACAUUCACAUUUGUAGACACUGAGUUCCAAGGGAGGGGCCGCCUGGGGUGUGCAUAAGCAAGUCUGCCCUGUGAAAGCCUCCUCCACAGCCCAUGCAGAUGCCAGCUGCCUUCGUCAGGGAUGUGAGGCUGCACUUUCUGUUGGCAGGAAGCUGUGACUACUGUGCUGUUGGGAACCAUUAAACCAUUGUUAAUGGGUUCAUUCACUUUUUUAGGUUAAAAGUCAUGGCCAAAAAGAGGACUCUUUUUCUGAGUUGAUCUGGAGGGGAGAAUCAGAAACAAACAAGGAGUUGUAGGAACUUGGGUUUGGGUUCAAGAUAAGGACGGAGUUGGUAAAGGUGGGUGCCUCCCAGCAGUGACCCCCAGGGUCAGAGUGCCCCCGACACAGUGCUGAAGCAGAGGCUUGGCAUCCUUCACAUACCUCCCCACGGGAAGCAGCAGGUCUCACAGCCCGAGGCUGGCAAGUCCAAGGUGAAAGUGCUAGCUACUUCCAGCCCAUGGAUGGUGCACUGUUGCUGUUCUACAUGGCAGAGAAAGACAGAGUAGUAGAAGUGGGAGAUUAAUUUGCUUCAGGGAAUUGGCCCACACUGUUGGGAGGCCAGGCAAGUCUGAUGUCUAUAGGGCAGGCUGGAGGCUGGAAACUCAGGCCAGAGCUGCUGCUGGUUUUUUCCUCUCCAGAAGGCUACUGUUCUGCUCUUAAGGCCUUCACCUGAUAAGAUGAGGCUCGCCACACUGUGGAAGGUCACCUGAUUUACUUAAAGCCAGCUGACUAACCACAGCUACUGAACAUCUCCGCAGAAAUGUUCAGAUGAGGGCUUGAUGCGGGAGUGGGACAGCAGCCUGGCCACAUGGACAUGCAGACUUGGGUAUGCCAGGGAGGUGAGCUUGUCAAGGUGGCAGAAAGCCAAAGCCACGACCACUAGCUUCCUAGGCUUCCUAGAGCUUCCUGGAGAGGACCCUGCUCAAGGCCCAUCACCCAACGUGGACAGGGUGACAUAGCAAUGACACCGAGCACUGGCCAGGCACCAGGAGCUGCUGGCCACCCCAUGAGUAUCAUUAACCCCUUCAGUCAGAAAGCUGGGUCAUCGCAUUUUGCAGAUGCAGAUGCGGUCACAACCAAGGACCCCACAGGGCAGUGACUCACUUGGGGUCACAAGGUAGGCACAGGAGCCAGGACUUAGCCAGGUGCUGUGCCUCUAGAGUCUGCUGCCUCUGCCGUGGCACACGACACUUUAGGAUGUCACUCUCUGACAGACUCGGGGCCGGGAGCGUCGGCAGACUCCAGAUCCUGCCCAUCCCACCCCAGGACGAGGGUGCCUCUCCUUAUCCAGAGCAGGACAUAAGCCCCACCUUAGCCCCCGGAAUAUUUUGGGAAUCCGUGUCUGCUGAACACUUUGGGGAAGCGUGAAAACAGUUUUUCAAAUGCCAGUUUUGGUUUUUUUUAAUCAAUUGUAGGUUUGCCCUUGGGGUAACAAACAUAAAAUCCCAAACUUUCAUCCCACUGGAGCAAAUAAAAAUUACCUUGUUUGGUUUUUUGUUGUUGUUUUUUCUUUUUUGAGACACGGUCUUGCCCAGGCUGGCCUCAGACUCAUGGUGAUCCUCCUGCUUCAGCUUCCGAGGGCUAGGAUUUGCAGGGAUGCACCACCACCCCCGGGUUUCCCCAUUAGGUUUCCAAUAAUUGUGCCGUGGCUUUGGAUUGGAAUCCAGAUGCCACCCAGGGAGACCUGAGACCUAGGACAGGGGUCAGAUGAACUGGGUGCAUCAAAAUGCCCAGGAAAGGUUCGGCCUUUGACCAGGCGCAGCGUGGGCAGCGGCACUGGCUGCUGUGCCUACGAGUGGCAUUGUACAGGCAGAGCCACCCAGUGCUCCGGCUGCCCGGGAACAAGGUGCCCCACAAGCUGGGGAGAGGAGUUCCACCCAGAGCACCUGGACGUCAGGACAGCGGUCCCCACAGGGCAAAGCCCUCAGCUCUGGCCUCAGGCUCUGCAGGUGUCAACUCACUGUGGCCGCCCCAGCAGCCCCUCCAGCUUCGGGUGUCCCGGGCUCCACCCUGCUCUUCUGGCUUCUCAGGCCCAGGCCCGGCCUGCUGGAGGGCGGCUCCGUGCAGCAGCCUGGCCGGAAACGAGAGUCUCCACCGAAUGCACCGCGCCACGGAAACCGCGGUGAAAUUGCUCCCUUCCUUCUAGGGCAGCCCCAGGAGGCCCAGGGACAAGAGGGCAUUGUGUUGGGGGGGACCCCUCCCCGGCACAAAGGGCGUCUUUCACGGCUGCUGACUGCACAGGCGGGUGGGAGCCCCAGGCCUCCUCAUUCCUGGGCUCCUGGCACUGUGCCCCAGGUCAGAGCUGCCGCCCUGGAAGGAGCCAGCUGCAGAGACCCCGGCCCUGGGGCUGGCAGAGCUGUCCUGCUGGCGCUGGUUGGCUGGGACACGGCUGUCACUGCGCUGAGCUGUCCGUCUGGGAAAGUCAUCUGCGUAGGGAAGGGACCGUGUGUGGAUGGCUGUGUUAUGGGGUGAAGGGCUCUGGAAAAGACACAUGGGAGGGGGAGCCCCAUACCCUGGGGGAGCCUGGAGCUCGGAGGACGGGUGGGCGGGCAAAGAACUCAUACCGAGCUUGCGGACGGGACCGUGAACAGGUUGGAUACAAAGCCCUCUCGGUCCUGCAAAAUCUCAGGCUCUACUCAGUCCGGGAGGCCCAGGCAGGCAGGGCUUGAGUGGCGAGUGUGCGUGUGUGUGCUCGUGAGUGUGUCAGGAUGUGAGUGUGUGUGUGUGUGUAUGUGUUGGGGAAGAUCUAAAAAUGUAAUUGCUUUCAGCAGAACACGGCCCACGGUGUAAUUAAAGCGAGGGGGCUGCCGGCUCCUAGAGUUUAAGUGAUUUCAUGUGCAUUUGGUGAUUAUGCCCCUCUCUUGGGAUAAAAGUGCGGCUUCUAUUUUCACAUACAAAAUGGUUCCCAGACCAGGAGGCAGGGACUCAUUCCCUGCCCGCCUGGGCAUGAGGCUGGCCGGGCGGGCCGAGGGGAAGCUGGGCCUCGGUGGGUGCUGGUGAGGGGCCGGGAGAGGAG
rnacentral:lncRNA from 1 species